GAUGAACGCUGGCGGCGUGCUUAACACAUGCAAGUCGAACGGAAAGGCUCCUGCUUGCAGGGGUACUCGAGUGGCGAACGGGUGAGUAACACGGGGGUGAUCUGCCCUGCACUUCGGGAUAAGCCUGGGAAACUGGGUCUAAUACCGGAGAGGACGAUGGGUUGGAUGCCAUUGUGGAAAGUUUUUCGGUGUGGGAUGAGCUCGCGGCCUAUCAGCUUGUUGGUGGGGUAAUGGCCUACCAAGGCGUCGACGGGUAGCCGGCCUGAGGGGGUGUACGGCCACAUUGGGACUUAGAUACGGCCCCGACUCCGACGGGUGGCAGCAGUGGGGAAUAUUGCACAAUGGGCGCCAGCCGGAUGCAGCGAGGCCGCGUGGGGGAUGACGGCCUUCGGGUUGUAAAAUCCUUUCGCUAGGGACGAAGCGUUUUGUGACGGUACCUGGAGAAGAAGCACCGGCUAACUACGUG
rnacentral:rRNA from 1 species